CCCGACUCGAGUGGCACACAUAAAACCCCCAAUAAAACAACUCUGCGCUUGAUUUUUGCAUCCAAAACGACCUGGAAUUGACUCCUUCGUAACUAAGUGACGAGCUGGUAGGACUGUUUCCUUUUUCCCAUCUCAAUGGAGUUAAUUGAUCACCCCGGAAGUGAUCAAUUAACUUUUACCCAGAGACUCCUGAUUUUCUGUCUCCUGUUUAGGAGGGGAAAAAAUGUGAUGGUUUUGUUAAUUAAAUCUUUUAUGAAGAAUAUAGUUUAGAAAUGGAUAGAAAACUAAAAUAAUGCUAUUUGGUAAUAGCAGAAUGGAUACUUAUGCGCAAAUACAGAUUGACGGCGUGGACAUUGAAAGGGUGAGCGAGCUAUUAUCUAUUGGGGAUAAUAGAUGAAAAAAUGAGCUGGAAAUCUCAUAUUAAAAAUAUACAACAAAGUGGCGAGAAAUACUUCAAUAUUGAAUAAAGCUAAAUUUGUCCUUGACCAAAAAUCACUCCAUACCCUUUACUGCUCUCUGGUUUUAGCAUAUCUAACUUAUUGUGUGGAGAUACGGGGUAAUCACUGUAAAAGUAUUCCAUAACAUGCGUACAGAGAAUAUACAAAUCCUCCGUUUCUAUUUUCCCUCUCAAAGUAUGGGUUAAGGAUCUCAUCCCAAGAGUGAAACCCCGGAAGUGAUGAAUAAACUCUAUUUGUUUUUUCCGAGGGAAAAAAAAAAUAAGGGGGGGGGGGGGAGCUCUGAUUUUCAGUUUAUUAAAUUGUUUUGUGGCUGUUUAAUUGUUAUAGUUUGUUCCACUUACCCCUGUCCCAAAUAUUCAUAAUACAGUCAAACCUGUCUUAGCGGCCACCUUUUAUAGAAGGGCCACCUGCCUAUAGCAGCCACUGAAAAAUCCCCCCCAGCAAAUAGACCCUGUGUAUAGCAGUCACCUUUCCAACGCAGCCAGCAGCCACCCAUUUUGUCUCCCUUGGUCAAUAUCUGACCUGCAUAUAGCAGCCAAAUUACCAACUCAAGUAGAAGCUUCAUGCACGAAAAAGUUUUGUUUUUCAAUCAAUGAAGGCGUCAUGUGUAGAUUUUAAUUACUGAGUCCUAGCUCAGUCACAAUCAUUCACAAGAUCCACACAAACUGUCAGUUGUUCCACAUAAAAAAGCCGUCUUCUUUUGAGCUUGCUAUUUCCUGGUCAAACAUGUAACUUUAAGAGAAUUUGCACCAAAACAUUACCGCAAAGUAGGCUGGGAACAGGACGUGCUCCCAGCGACGCUACAAUAAAAAAAAAAAAAAAACAUGCUAGCAUGCAUGCGGGAGCAAAACUGAGUUCGGUUGUACUUAAGUAUUUUAUCAGUUAUCAGUUAUUAUUAAGCCUCUAGCUUCCUUUUAGUAAGUAAAAACCUUGGCUAUGAUUGCACUACAUUGUCAUGUAGACCUACAAAGUACACUUGGAAGAACAAGAGGUGAAUAAAUGUAUUGCAACUGAUGUGAAACUGAUGAGGGGUAGGAUUAAAUAAGCUUUGCUUCUUCCUACUCCUUUUUGGACAUGCAAAAUUGUGAAUUGUACUAUAUGAUGUGCUACUUUUUGACUCAUGCAUGUUCAGGAUUAAAACCAUGAACCAUGAUAAUAACAAGCCUCGUAGUGCUGUACAACUUUUAUCAGCAGUCCGCAGUGCCAUAUAGUGGUCAACAUUAUUAUUAUUAUUUUUUUUUUCCCUUUUUUCCUCUACUGGUCAACAUUCAAACUGGACGCCAACCUGUUUAUAGAGGCCACCUGUCUAUAGCGGCCACUUUUGCAGACUCCCUCUAGUGGCCGCUGUAGACAAAUUUGACUGUAUAUCAUUUCAUUUAAACUCACUUAUUGGACAUCUGCUUCA